rnacentral:rRNA from 1 species
CUGUUGCCUCGGCGGGAUCUCUGCCCCGGGUGCGUCGCAGCCCCGGACCAAGGCGCCCGCCGGAGGACCAACCAAAACUCUUAUUGUAUACCCCCUCGCGGGUUUUUUUAUAAUCUGAGCCUUCUCGGCGCCUCUCGUAGGCGUUUCGAAAAUGAAUCAAAACUUUCAACAACGGAUCUCUUGGUUCUGGCAUCGAUGAAGAACGCAGCGAAAUGCGAUAAGUAAUGUGAAUUGCAGAAUUCAGUGAAUCAUCGAAUCUUUGAACGCACAUUGCGCCCGCCAGUAUUCUGGCGGGCAUGCCUGUCCGAGCGUCAUUUCAACCCUCGAACCCCUCCGGGGGGUCGGCGUUGGGGAUCGGCCCUGCCUUGGCGGUGGCCGUCUCCGAAAUACAGUGGCGGUCUCGCCGCAGCCUCUCCUGCGCAGUAGUUUGCACACUCGCAUCGGGAGCGCGGCGCGUCCACAGCCGUUAAACACCCAACUUCUGAAAUGUUGACCUCGGAUCAGGUAGGAAUACCCGCUGAACUUAAGCAUAUCAAUAAGCGGAGGAAA